ACAACCAUUUGAGUCUGGGAUUUCUGAAUGGGGAAACCCACUUACAUAAGUAAGUAUCAUUAACUGAAUACAUAGGUUAAUGAGGCGAACCGGGGGAACUGAAACAUCUAAGUACCCCGAGGAAAAGAAAUCAACCGAGAUUCCGAAAGUAGCGGCGAGCGAAAUUGGACUAGCCCUUAAGCUUUACACGCGUUAGACGAACGGUCUGGAAAGUCCGACGAUACAGGGUGAUAGUCCCGUAGUUGACGACGUGUGUUCAGUGAAAUCGAGUAGGGCGGGACACGUGAUAUCCUGUCUGAAUAUGGGGGGACCAUCCUCCAAGGCUAAAUACUACUGACUGACCGAUAGUGAACCAGUACCGUGAGGGAAAGGCGAAAAGAACCCCUGUGAGGGGAGUGAAAUAGAACCUGAAACCGUGUACGUACAAGCAGUAGGAGCAGGCUUUGUCCUGUGACUGCGUACCUUUUGUAUAAUGGGUCAGCGACUUAUAUUCAGUGGCAAGGUUAACCAUCUAGGGGAGCCGUAGGGAAACCGAGUCUUAACUGGGCGUUCAGUCUCUGGAUAUAGACCCGAAACCAGGUGAUCUAGCCAUGGGCAGGUUGAAGGUUGAGUAACAUCAACUGGAGGACCGAACCGACUAAUGUUGAAAAAUUAGCGGAUGACUUGUGGCUAGGGGUGAAAGGCCAAUCAAACCUGGAGAUAGCUGGUUCUCCCCGAAAGCUAUUUAGGUAGCGCCUCGGACGAAUACUACUGGGGGUAGAGCACUGUUAAGGCUAGGGGGUCAUCCCGACUUACCAACCCUUUGCAAACUCCGAAUACCAGUAAGUACUAUCCGGGAGACACACGGCGGGUGCUAACGUCCGUCGUGGAGAGGGAAACAACCCAGACCGCCAGCUAAGGUCCCAAAUUACUACUAAGUGGGAAACGAUGUGGGAAGGCUCAGACAGCCAGGAUGUUGGCUUAGAAGCAGCCAUCAUUUAAAGAAAGCGUAAUAGCUCACUGGUCGAGUCGGCCUGCGCGGAAGAUGUAACGGGGCUAAGUAGUAAACCGAAGCUGCGGCAAUAUACUUUUGUAUAUUGGGUAGGGGAGCGUUCUGUAAGCGGUUGAAGGUGUGUGGUAACGCAUGCUGGANGUGCUUUUGCACAUUGGGUAGGGGAGCGUUCUGUAAGCGGUUGAAGGUGUGUGGUAACGCAUGCUGGACGUAUCAGAAGUGCGAAUGCUGACAUGAGUAACGAUAAAGGGGGUGAAAAACCUCCUCGCCGGAAGACCAAGGGUUCCUGUCCAACGUUAAUCGGGGCAGGGUAAGUCGACCCCUAAGGCGAGGCCGAAAGGCGUAGUCGAUGGGAAACGGGUUAAUAUUCCCGUACUUCUUACAAUUGCGAUGGGGGGACGGAGAAGGCUAGGUGGGCCUGGCGACGGUUGUCCAGGUUCAAGUGCGUAGGCUUAAGAGUUAGGUAAAUCGGGCUCUUUUUAAGGCUGAGACACGACGUCGAGCUACUACGGUAGUGAAGUCAUUGAUGCCAUGCUUCCAGGAAAAGCCUCUAAGCUUCAGAUUGUAAGGAAUCGUACCCCAAACCGACACAGGUGGUCGGGUAGAGAAUACCAAGGCGCUUGAGAGAACUCGGGUGAAGGAACUAGGCAAAAUGGUACCGUAACUUCGGGAGAAGGUACGCUCUCGACGGUGAAGUCCCUCGCGGAUGGAGCUAUUGAGAGUCGCAGAUACCAGGUGGCUGCAACUGUUUAUUAAAAANUGAUGGUGAAGUCCCUCGCGGAUGGAGCUGACGAGAGUCGCAGAUACCAGGUGGCUGCAACUGUUUAUUAAAAACACAGCACUGUGCAAAAUCGUAAGAUGACGUAUACGGUGUGACGCCUGCCCGGUGCCGGAAGGUUAAUUGAUGGGGUUAGACUUCGGUCGAAGCUCUUGAUCGAAGCCCCGGUAAACGGCGGCCGUAACUAUAACGGUCCUAAGGUAGCGAAAUUCCUUGUCGGGUAAGUUCCGACCUGCACGAAUGGCGUAAUGAUGGCCACGCUGUCUCCACCCGAGACUCAGUGAAAUUGAAAUCGCUGUGAAGAUGCAGUGUACCCGCGGCUAGACGGAAAGACCCCGUGAACCUUUACUACAGCUUGGCACUGAACAUUGACCCUACAUGUGUAGGAUAGGUGGGAGGCUUUGAAGCACGUACGCCAGUAUGUGUGGAGCCGUCCUUGAAAUACCACCCUUGUAGUGUUGAUGUUCUAACGUUGACCCCUUAUCGGGGUUGCGGACAGUGCCUGGUGGGUAGUUUGACUGGGGCGGUCUCCUCCCAAAGAGUAACGGAGGAGCACGAAGGUGGGCUAAUCACGGUUGGACAUCGUGAGGUUAGUGCAAUGGCAUAAGCCCGCUUGACUGCGAGAAUGACAAUUCGAGCAGGUGCGAAAGCAGGUCAUAGUGAUCCGGUGGUUCUGAAUGGAAGGGCCAUCGCUCAACGGAUAAAAGGUACUCCGGGGAUAACAGGCUGAUACCGCCCAAGAGUUCAUAUCGACGGCGGUGUUUGGCACCUCGAUGUCGGCUCAUCACAUCCUGGGGCUGAAGUCGGUCCCAAGGGUAUGGCUGUUCGCCAUUUAAAGUGGUACGCGAGCUGGGUUUAGAACGUCGUGAGACAGUUCGGUCCCUAUCUGCCGUGGGCGUUGGAAGAUUGAAGGGGGCUGCUCCUAGUACGAGAGGACCGGAGUGGACGAACCUCUGGUGUUCGGGUUGUGUCGCCAGACGCAUUGCCCGGUAGCUAAGUUCGGAAUCGAUAACCGCUGAAAGCAUCUAAGCGGGAAGCGAGCCCUGAGAUGAGUCUUCCCUGAUACUUUAAGUAUCCUAAAGGGUUGUCGGAGACUACGACGUUGAUAGGUCAGGUGUGUAAGUGCUGUGAGGCAUUGAGCUAACUGAUACUAAUUGCCCGUGAGGCUUAACCAU
rnacentral:rRNA from 1 species